UUAAGCGACUAAGCGUACACGGUGGAUGCCCUGGCAGUCAGAGGCGAUGAAGGACGUGCUAAUCUGCGAAAAGCGUCGGUAAGGUGAUAUGAACCGUUAUAACCGGCGAUGUCCGAAUGGGGAAACCCAGUGCAAUUCGUUGCACUAUCGUUAACUGAAUACAUAGGUUAACGAGGCGAACCGGGGGAACUGAAACAUCUAAGUACCCCGAGGAAAAGAAAUCAACCGAGAUUCCCCCAGUAGCGGCGAGCGAACGGGGAGCAGCCCAGAGUCUGAAUCAGCUUGUGUGUUAGUGGAACGGUCUGGAAAGUCCGACGGUACAGGGUGAUAGUCCCGUACACCAAAAUGCACAGGUUGUGAACUCGAAGAGUAGGGCGGGACACGUGGUAUCCUGUCUGAAUAUGGGGGGACCAUCCUCCAAGGCUAAAUACUCCUGACUGACCGAUAGUGAACCAGUACCGUGAGGGAAAGGCGAAAAGAACCCCGGCGAGGGGAGUGAAAAAGAACCUGAAACCGUGUACGUACAAGCAGUGGGAGCACCUUCGGGUGUGACUGCGUACCUUUUGUAUAAUGGGUCAGCGACUUAUAUUCUGUAGCAAGGUUAACCGUAUAGGGGAGCCGCAGGGAAACCGAGUCUUAACUGGGCGUUAAGUUGCAGGGUAUAGACCCGAAACCCGGUGAUCUAGCCAUGGGCAGGUUGAAGGUUGGGUAACACUAACUGGAGGACCGAACCGACUAAUGUUGAAAAAUUAGCGGAUGACUUGUGGCUGGGGGUGAAAGGCCAAUCAAACCGGGAGAUAGCUGGUUCUCCCCGAAAGCUAUUUAGGUAGCGCCUCGUGAANGCUGUGAACUCGAAGAGUAGGGCGGGACACGUGGUAUCCUGUCUGAAUAUGGGGGGACCAUCCUCCAAGGCUAAAUACUCCUGACUGACCGAUAGUGAACCAGUACCGUGAGGGAAAGGCGAAAAGAACCCCGGCGAGGGGAGUGAAAAAGAACCUGAAACCGUGUACGUACAAGCAGUGGGAGCACCUUCGGGUGUGACUGCGUACCUUUUGUAUAAUGGGUCAGCGACUUAUAUUCUGUAGCAAGGUUAACCGUAUAGGGGAGCCGCAGGGAAACCGAGUCUUAACUGGGCGUUAAGUUGCAGGGUAUAGACCCGAAACCCGGUGAUCUAGCCAUGGGCAGGUUGAAGGUUGGGUAACACUAACUGGAGGACCGAACCGACUAAUGUUGAAAAAUUAGCGGAUGACUUGUGGCUGGGGGUGAAAGGCCAAUCAAACCGGGAGAUAGCUGGUUCUCCCCGAAAGCUAUUUAGGUAGCGCCUCGUGAANUCAUCUUCGGGGGUAGAGCACUGUUUCGGCUAGGGGGUCAUCCCGACUUACCAACCCGAUGCAAACUACGAAUACCGAAGAAUGUUAUCACGGGAGACACACGGCGGGUGCUAACGUCCGUCGUGAAGAGGGAAACAACCCAGACCGCCAGCUAAGGUCCCAAAGUCAUGGUUAAGUGGGAAACGAUGUGGGAAGGCACAGACAGCCAGGAUGUUGGCUUAGAAGCAGCCAUCAUUUAAAGAAAGCGUAAUAGCUCACUGGUCGAGUCGGCCUGCGCGGAAGAUGUAACGGGGCUAAACCAUGCACCGAAGCUGCGGCAGCGACACUAUGUGUUGUUGGGUAGGGGAGCGUUCUGUAAGCCUGCGAAGGUGACCUGUGAGGGUUGCUGGAGGUAUCAGAAGUGCGAAUGCUGACAUAAGUAACGAUAAAGCGGGUGAAAAGCCCGCUCGCCGGAAGACCAAGGGUUCCUGUCCAACGUUAAUCGGGGCAGGGUGAGUCGACCCCUAAGGCGAGGCCGAAAGGCGUAGUCGAUGGGAAACAGGUUAAUAUUCCUGUACUUGGUGUUACUGCGAAGGGGGGACGGAGAAGGCUAUGUUAGCCGGGCGACGGUUGUCCCGGUUUAAGCAUGUAGGCUGGUUGUCCAGGCAAAUCCGGAUAAUCAAGGCUGAGGUGUGAUGACGAGGCACUACGGUGCUGAAGUAACAAAUGCCCUGCUUCCAGGAAAAGCCUCUAAGCAUCAGGUAACAUNNNNNNNNNNNAAAUCGUACCCCAAACCGACACAGGUGGUCAGGUAGAGAAUACCAAGGCGCUUGAGAGAACUCGGGUGAAGGAACUAGGCAAAAUGGUGCCGUAACUUCGGGAGAAGGCACGCUGGUGUGUAGGUGAAGUCCCUGCGGAUGGAGCUGAGACCAGUCGAAGAUACCAGCUGGCUGCAACUGUUUAUUAAAAACACAGCACUGUGCAAACACGAAAGUGGACGUAUACGGUGUGACGCCUGCCCGGUGCCGGAAGGUUAAUUGAUGGGGUUAUCCGUAAGGAGAAGCUCUUGAUCGAAGCCCCGGUAAACGGCGGCCGUAACUAUAACGGUCCUAAGGUAGCGAAAUUCCUUGUCGGGUAAGUUCCGACCUGCACGAAUGGCGUAAUGAUGGCCAGGCUGUCUCCACCCGAGACUCAGUGAAAUUGAACUCGCUGUGAAGAUGCAGUGUACCCGCGGCAAGACGGAAAGACCCCGUGAACCUUUACUAUAGCUUGACACUGAACAUUGAGCCUUGAUGUGUAGGAUAGGUGGGAGGCUUUGAAGCGUGGACGCCAGUCUGCGUGGAGCCAACCUUGAAAUACCACCCUUUAAUGUUUGAUGUUCUAACGUUGGCCCCUUACCGGGGUUGCGGACAGUGUCUGGUGGGUAGUUUGACUGGGGCGGUCUCCUCCCAAAGCGUAACGGAGGAGCACGAAGGUUAGCUAAUCCUGGUCGGACAUCAGGAGGUUAGUGCAAUGGCAUAAGCUAGCUUGACUGCGAGCGUGACGGCGCGAGCAGGUGCGAAAGCAGGUCAUAGUGAUCCGGUGGUUCUGAAUGGAAGGGCCAUCGCUCAACGGAUAAAAGGUACUCCGGGGAUAACAGGCUGAUACCGCCCAAGAGUUCAUAUCGACGGCGGUGUUUGGCACCUCGAUGUCGGCUCAUCACAUCCUGGGGCUGAAGUAGGUCCCAAGGGUAUGGCUGUUCGCCAUUUAAAGUGGUACGCGAGCUGGGUUUAGAACGUCGUGAGACAGUUCGGUCCCUAUCUGCCGUGGGCGCUGGAGAAUUGAGGGGGGCUGCUCCUAGUACGAGAGGACCGGAGUGGACGCAUCACUGGUGUUCGGGUUGUCAUGCCAAUGGCACUGCCCGGUAGCUAAAUGCGGAAGAGAUAAGUGCUGAAAGCAUCUAAGCACGAAACUUGCCCCGAGAUGAGUUCUCCCUGAGACUUUAAGUCUCCUGAAGGAACGUU
rnacentral:rRNA from 1 species